rnacentral:rRNA from 2 species
GAAUGCUGACAUAAGUAACGAUAAAGCGGGUGAAAAGCCCGCUCGCCGGAAGACCAAGGGUUCCUGUCCAACGUUAAUCGGGGCAGGGUGAGUCGACCCCUAAGGCGAGGCCGAAAGGCGUAGUCGAUGGGAAACGGGUUAAUAUUCCCGUACUUGGUGUUACUGCGAAGGGGGGACGGAGAAGGCUAUGUUGGCCGGGCGACGGUUGUCCCGGUUUAAGCGUGUAGGUGUGUGUUCCAGGUAAAUCCGGUUCACUUUAACACUGAGGCGUGAUGACGAGGCACUACGGUGCUGAAGCAACAAAUGCCCUGCUUCCAGGAAAAGCCUCUAAGCAUCAGGUAACAUCAAAUCGUACCCCAAACCGACACAGGUGGUCAGGUAGAGAAUACCAAGGCGCUUGAGAGAACUCGGGUGAAGGAACUAGGCAAAAUGGUGCCGUAACUUCGGGAGAAGGCACGCUGACACGUAGGUGAAGUGAUUUACUCACGGAGCUGAAGUCAGUCGAAGAUACCAGCUGGCUGCAACUGUUUAUUAAAAACACAGCACUGUGCAAACACGAAAGUGGACGUAUACGGUGUGACGCCUGCCCGGUGCCGGAAGGUUAAUUGAUGGGGUCAGCGCAAGCGAAGCUCCUGAUCGAAGCCCCGGUAAACGGCGGCCGUAACUAUAACGGUCCUAAGGUAGCGAAAUUCCUUGUCGGGUAAGUUCCGACCUGCACGAAUGGCGUAAUGAUGGCCAGGCUGUCUCCACCCGAGACUCAGUGAAAUUGAACUCGCUGUGAAGAUGCAGUGUACCCGCGGCAAGACGGAAAGACCCCGUGAACCUUUACUAUAGCUUGACACUGAACAUUGAGCCUUGAUGUGUAGGAUAGGUGGGAGGCUUUGAAGUGUGGACGCCAGUCUGCAUGGAGCCGACCUUGAAAUACCACCCUUUAAUGUUUGAUGUUCUAACGUGGACCCGUGAUCCGGGUUGCGGACAGUGUCUGGUGGGUAGUUUGACUGGGGCGGUCUCCUCCUAAAGAGUAACGGAGGAGCACGAAGGUUGGCUAAUCCUGGUCGGACAUCAGGAGGUUAGUGCAAUGGCAUAAGCCAGCUUGACUGCGAGCGUGACGGCGCGAGCAGGUGCGAAAGCAGGUCAUAGUGAUCCGGUGGUUCUGAAUGGAAGGGCCAUCGCUCAACGGAUAAAAGGUACUCCGGGGAUAACAGGCUGAUACCGCCCAAGAGUUCAUAUCGACGGCGGUGUUUGGCACCUCGAUGUCGGCUCAUCACAUCCUGGGGCUGAAGUAGGUCCCAAGGGUAUGGCUGUUCGCCAUUUAAAGUGGUACGCGAGCUGGGUUUAGAACGUCGUGAGACAGUUCGGUCCCUAUCUGCCGUGGGCGCUGGAGAACUGAGGGGGGCUGCUCCUAGUACGAGAGGACCGGAGUGGACGCAUCACUGGUGUUCGGGUUGUCAUGCCAAUGGCACUGCCCGGUAGCUAAAUGCGGAAGAGAUAAGUGCUGAAAGCAUCUAAGCACGAAACUUGCCCCGAG